rnacentral:rRNA from 1 species
UACGUUCCGGACCUUGUACACACCGCCCGUCAAGCCAUGGAAGUUGGGAGGACCUGAAGACAGUUGCUGUAAGGCGCUGUUUAGGGUUAAACCGAUGACUGGGGCU